GUUGUACUUUCUGUUGUUGUCUCAGCUGUGGUGCUUUCAGUUGUUGUUGAAGUUUCUGCUGUUGUACUUUCUAAAGUUGUGGUACCAAUGGUGGUGCUUUCUGUUGUUGUAGUAUCGAUUGUGGUGCUGUCUGUUGUUAUUGUUGUCUCUGCUGUUGUAGUUUCUGGUGUUGUGGCAACGGAGGUUGUACUUUCUGUUGUUGUCUCAGUUGUGGUGCUUUCAGUUGUUGUUGAAGUUUCUGCUGUUGUACUUUCUAAAGUUGUGGUACCGAUGGUUGUACUUUCUGUUGUUGUCUCAGUUGUGAUGCUGUCUGUUGUUAUUGUUGUUUCUGCUGUUGUACUUUCUGGUGUUGUGGUACCGGAGGUUGUACUUUCUGUUGUUGU
ensembl:lncRNA